GCCAUUUGCUAUAUCCUCAUAUAGGUGUCUGUGUAGCAAUGGCCCUAGCGAGGGUAGAUCGCUAGCCCCUGGCGGAAUGUGCCUCAGAAGCAGGAACAACAAAUGGUGCCCCGUGUGAGGAAGAAUAGGUCCGUCGCUCCCCAAUGUCCCAGGUGUUGCCUGAGAUCCGGUGAGGGAUCUGCUCCUGGCCAGGAGGAUGGAGUGGAGGAGAACAAGAUGGCAACUGUUUCCUGACCCACCCCUCGCCACUGUAUCCGGUCCGACCGACUCGACCCGGAUAUCCUUUUAUGGAGUUGAGGGCGCAUGCGACUGAUCAGGGGUCUCCACAACAGGGAGGACCUGUUUUGUUGGCUAUUUCAAGGGGUUGGCCGAUGGUGGUCAUUGACCUCAAGGUCUGCUUUUUCUCUAUCCCUCUCACAGAAGAGGACCGAGAAGCAUUUGCCUUCACGUUUCCGGUGACUAAUAAUGAAGGGCCUGCAGAGAGAUAUCAAUGGCGUGCCCUCCCUCAGGGAAUGAUGUGCUCCCCUACAGUGUGUCAACUAGUAGUGGGAAAUGUUCUGAAGGCGGUCUGAAAAGAUUUCCCUCAGUAUAUGGUUGUACAUUAUAUGGACAAUCUAUUGCUUGCUGCUCCCUCUUAUUUGGGGCUACAUAUGCUUGAGACUCGGGUAGUGGAAACCUUGACCACUGCCAGAUUUGUUAUCUCUGAACAAAAAUUGCAGAGGGGCCCGGGGGUUGAAUACCUCGGAUAUAAGUUUCGCCCAGAGAUGGUUCGGCCAACAGGGCUUGACAUUUGACCCCACAUUACCACCCUGUGGGAUGUGCAGAAGUUGGUGGGGGCAAUUCAGUGGGUCCGAGGGGCCUUGGGAAUUGCCUCCCGGCUUAUGAAACCCUUCUAUGAUCAACUGAAGGAGGUGGACCCGAGAGAACCUCGAGAGCUCACCCAUGAUAUGGCUGCUGCAUGGCAUGAAAUUCUGCAGUGUUGUAUGGUGCAGUCGCUAGCGCGGUGGGACCCCAAUCUAGAUCUUGAAGUAGCAGCGACUCGAUGCGAGGCCGGUACAACUGCCAUUUUGGGCCAUACCCUUGAUGCUAAGCCACGACCUCUGUGGUGGUUGUUUUCAGUGCAGCCUACGUGAGUCUACACUUCCUGGCUUGAGAUCUUAGCAAUGCUGCUCAGGAAGUCCCUAUUGCUAUUGUUGCAGGCCCUGGCAAGAGAACCUCAUGUUAUAUACCUGCAGAGCUCAUUUCGGGACAUGCAGCCGCUCCCUGAAGCCCUUCUUACGGUGUUGCGGGGCUUUGGGGGAAGCACUGUGUACUCUGAUUCGUUACCCAUUUUUGAUUUAGCUAAGCCCCUCAAUGUCUCCCUUCGAUCUCGUGUCCUAACCUCUCUGCUUGAUGGGCCCACCCUGUUCACGGAUGCAUCUUCAACCACCGGACAGGGGCAGGACUCAAGCAACAGUUGGGAGACCGCUGUUUUUACCGAUCAGACAGCUAGUGUGCAAAUGCUUGAGGUGAUGACUGUGGCGGUAGCAGUGCAUUUGUGGUGAGAGAUUCCAUGUAACAUCGUCACUAAUUCUGCUUUCGUGGCCAGACUGCUUGUCUACAUGGAUCAAGAAGGGCAUCUGAGCUCUGAGGCCGCUGGCCUCCUAGAAGAAGCUUUGGCUUCCUGCUCAGCUCCUGUGGCCAUCUUGCAUGUCUGCAGCCAUUCUGAUGUGCCAGGCUUCUUUACAGCAGGGAAUGCUGUAGUGGACAGAGCUGCCCAUACACUUGUUUUCAUGGUUCACGAAGCCCGUGACCUUCAUGCCACCCUUCACAUAGGCGCCCGUGCACUGGCUAGGACAUGUUCCAUUCCUUUGUCUGUUGCACGCGAUGUUGUUCAGGGAUGUCCCCACUGUAAUUCUGCACCUGUAAUAGAGGCUGGAGUUAACCCCCAUGGUCUCGGACCAUUACAAAUUUGACAAACAGAUUUCACUUGGGAACACCAUCUGUCCCCCCACCCUUGGCUUACCAUCACGGUGGAUACUUCCUCCAUUGUCAUCGUAGCCACGCAGCAUGCUAAGUCUAACUUGUCCGUGGCACAAUAUCAUUGGGUUGCUGCCAUUGCUGUGAUGGGCUUGCCUAAUCAGAUUAAGACUGAUAAUGGGUCCUGCUUCAUCUCGUAAAACAUCUUGAGAUGGGAAAAAUAGUAUGGGUACCAUUGCGGAAAGUUAAAUCAGAUGCCAGCAAGGAAAUAACCGGACUAUGAGCCUUCUUGUUCACAGGUUUGGCUCCUGGGGAGGCCUAAACCACAGACAGAGGAGACAAGAGAACAAAAAAAAAGGAGCCGUUCCUGAAAGCUCCUGCUAAGACUGCAGCACAUGCUAAGUAUACAACACUUUUGCUUAUAGUAUCGGCAAUAGGUACUGCUCAGGCCUGGGAAAGCAACGGGUAUGUCAACGUUACCCACGUAAUGGCCCAGCAUUUCAAUUUAUCAGACUGUUGGAUUUGUACUGCCUUACCACGGGGAGGGAACUCCCCUUGCUAGGAGUUCCAGUGCCAUUCAGAAACUGGAGCUUGCCAUGGGACGCGGUGCAAGUACAGUACAUGGGGCGUGGCGAAAGUUUGUAUUGGUUUGUGCGGGCUUCAUGUGGUCUGGCGGGGCACGCAUCCCUACUCCCUAGCGGGGAAACAUUAUGCUGGAGUUUUCAGGACCCCUUGACCUCUUGACCGCCCAAGGUCAUGAAACCAGACGUAGCUUGUUAUCUGAAUACUAGCUCUCCGAGGUUUGAGAUGCUAUCCCCAUGGCCGAACAAUACUGUUGUCCUGGCGCAGAAUGGCAGCUACAGUGUGGGUCAUUUUUCAGCAGUGAACGUUACUUGAUGCCCAAGCUCAGAGCACUGCCCUAGGCCGAUAGUGGUGGCCUUGAGCAAUCCUGGCGGUACCCCACUGGGAUGUCCUCCCAAAGGUCUAUGGUGGCUGUAUGGGGAUGGCCGAGCAAGGAAAAGUGUACCAUCUGAUUGGAGUGGCUCUUGCACCUUGGGAGCCCUCAUUCCAAAUGUUGUCUGGCAUAACUGAUCGGCACCUCCUCCUGGAAUCCUACGAACACACUGGAGGAGAGUGCAGAGGGUUCUGAACCCUGUAGUGGAGAAACCUACUGGUUUACACAGUUUUGCUAGAUGGUUCAUCCCAUCCUUGGGGGUGAGUGAGUUAGAGAAAACGUUUGUUAACAUUUCAGCCACCUUGGAAAUGAUAGAAAAUGCCACCGUUGAUGCAAUCAGGACAUUACAAGGAGAAGUCUCUACACUUAGCAAGGUGGUAUUACAGAAUAGGAUGGCAUUAGACCUCUUAAUGGCAAAAGAAGGAGGAGUCUGUGUGGUAAUAAACCACAGCUGCUGUGCCUAUGUCGAUAAGACUCAGAGGGUAGAGACGGGCAUACAAGCAAUAUGGGAACGGACUAAAUUACUCCAUCAAGUGUCCAUGGACGAUACUUCAUGCGGAUUUCGGGACUUAUGGGAGAAGCUCAUGAGUUGGUUACCUGACUUCACAUGGCUGAAGCAACUCUUCAUCGUUUGUGUCAUCAUAAUGAUCAUACUUAUAUUAAUGUGAGUCACUAUGCGAUGUAUGUUGUGCCUAUGUAUAAAUUCUGGGAAGGGCUAUGGAAAAUGGAAAAAACUCAGGUUAGGGCAGCAACUAAGGUACUUAUAGUUGCCUUGCCUCUAAUUGUAUUAUAUGUAAUAUAAUCGCCAUAUGCUGUAGCAAGUAGACUAGCUUAAAAGACCCAACAUAGCUUGCCAUCCCCUCUGUGUCCUAGGCUGGCGAUCUCGGUGGGUGUUGAUUAAGAAAUUGCAGUCACGCUGUAACGGGGCAAGACUUUACUGAGCAUGGGGAGGGGGAAAUAUUGCAGUAGGCGUUAACGGGGACUCGAGAUGUGACACGAUAGGACCUCCCCUGCUCUGUGAUUUAAAUAUGACAUGUGCUUAGGGAGCGUAGACAAGGCAAGGUGUGUAUUUAAGGAGCUGCCACGCUGUAAUAAACGCCAUUUGCUAUAUCCUCAUAUAGGUGUCUGUGUAGUAAUGGCCCUAGCGAGGGUAGAUUGUUAGCUCCCGGCAGAACGUGCCUGUGAAGCGGGAGCAACAAACGUGCGUGUCGCUAAUGUGCAUAACAGAACUUGCCUUACCCAUGGGUUACCAGGAGGCUAAGAAAAGUAAUCUAACACCUAGGCCAACUUGCAGACUCCUUGGGUAAUUCAUGCCGGACGAGUCACCUCAGCAUGUGCCAGAUUUUCACAUAUAAUAUGAUUACAAGUAAUAAACAAAUCAGUGUUAGAAUUAAUAAAAUCACAACUGGGUGAAGCACAGAAUUAAAAGCUCCUCUUGCUGUUGGUGACCAUCCAAGAAGCAUUUCCCACCAGUGGUGUUCUCCAUCCUUCUUCACCCUUUCUAGGACAUGGUGUAUCUCUUUUGUAUCAUGGUGAACAGUAAUUAGAAUUUUUUUGUCUGUUAUCUCAGAUGCAUUCUAGCAGUUGGUACAGAUCAUCAUGUUGCAGUAAUUUCUUUAAUAAAUCAAGGUUCAUUCCACUUGAUGCAGGUA